AGUGAAAUCUGGCGGCGUGCCUAAUACAUGCAAGUCGCACGGAGUGGCGCACGGGCUGGUAAUGUAUCACUAAUCUGACCUCAACUAGCGGACAACAGUUGGAAACGACUGCUAAUACUCUAUAGUGUAGGAUGAGGCUAUAUUGUAUCAGCUAGUUGGUGAGGUAAUGGCUCACCAAGGCUAUUACGCAUAACUGUUCUGAGAGGAUGAUCAGUCACACUGGAACUGAGACAUGGUCCAUACUACUAAGGGAGGCAGCAGUAGGGAAUAUUGCUCCAUGGGCGAAACCCGGGACAAGCAUCGCCGAGUGGAGGAUGACUUUUUCCGGAGCCUAAACUACUUUCGUUAGCGAAGAGCCACCUAACGAAUACUCACCGGCUAACUCCGUGACAGCAGCCGCGGUAAUAC
rnacentral:rRNA from 1 species